GCCGGGUGUGGUGGCUCACGCCUGUAAUCCCAGCACUUUGGGAGGCCAAGAUGGGUGGAUCACCUGAGGUCAGGAGUUCAAGACCAGCCUGGCCAAUAUGGUGAAACCCCAUCUCUA
ensembl:misc_RNA Metazoa_SRP Metazoan signal recognition particle RNA